rnacentral:miRNA from 2 species
UAAAUGCAUUAUCUGGUAUGUG